CCUGAAGUUUAUCACUAUUAGGCAAGCAAGCAGAGCGGCAGUUUGUGCUCACAGAUGGUGACGGUGUGGAGAGACGGUGGUGUUUCCUCAGAAGAACUAGCAGAGUCACAAAGGGCACGAGUCCAUCUCACCACCUUGACUUGUUGAUCAGUGGAUACACUUGUCUCCCCUUUAAAGGAGACACUCUUAGAGAGAGACGAUCCGAGUCAUCCUUAAAUAUGGACAGGAUAUCACUAUUGGACUGUCUAACCUGCAGGAGCAGCACUGAAUGACCACCACACAUGAUCAGUUCCUGCAACAUUCAGCAGCUUUGCUUUUGUGUCAAAUGUCAAACAGCUGGAGAGGAAACUACACCAGUGUACUGGGAUGUUUCACCAACACGUGCCAGACGCUGUUCCUUCAUGGUGACAUCACCAGAGACGGCCCCGCCCACCUCAGGACCUCGCCAUUGAUCAUGAUGAUUUUAAUGAUGACAGCGAGCAGAACUAAGACUGUAAAAAUCAGAAUGUUUAGAUGCUUUCUAAUUAUUCAUGAAUACUGAGAGCCUCUUUCUGUGUUUUGUCUGUUUUGUUUUUUUUUACCUCAUUUGUUACUAACAAAGUUCACCAAACUCACACAGUUUACAUUCUGUAUGUUUCCAUCUUUACCAGCCACACUCUACCCGCAAUUAAGAAAAUAAUCCUUAGAAAUUGUCGUUUUUCUCUUUUGUAAUUUUGUAAUUCAGUGAAUAUACUGCGCUGCGUCUCACAUUGCUUUAAGUUUUUCCAGUGUCCAGUUAUUUUUUACUGCUGUUUGAAUUCUCUGUAUGUUUGACCCUGUAGACUGUUUGAUGGACUGCUUGUCUUCCUGUUUGUAACCGCCGCCUGUUUUUGACUAAAGAUUUGGAUUUCUGACUUUAACACAGCCUCUGCGUGUCCUCCCUUUGUGUCCUCUUCCUCUGUGAAUGUGUUGCAUGUGUCACAGAUUCAUUUAUUAACAGCUUUCCCACAGUGAGUUGCAUCAGCAUUCAUUCACAGCACAUUUCAGAAGGAU